UACGGAGGGGGCUAGCGUUGUUCGGAAUUACUGGGCGUAAAGGGCGCGUAGGCGGAUUGUACAGUCAGAUGUGAAAUUCCUGGGCUCAACCUGGGGGCUGCAUUUGAUACGUAUAGUCUAGAGUUCGGAAGAGGGUCGUGGAAUUCCCAGUGUAGAGGUGAAAUUCGUAGAUAUUAGGAAGAACACCAGUGGCGAAGGCGGCUCACUGGCUCGGUACUGACGCUGAGGCGCGAAAGCGUGGGGAGCAAACAGG
rnacentral:rRNA from 1 species